rnacentral:rRNA from 1 species
AUUGAACGCUGGCGGCAGGCCUAACACAUGCAAGUCGAACGGUAGCACAGAGGAGCUUGCUCCUUGGGUGACGAGUGGCGGACGGGUGAGUAAUGUCUGGGAAACUGCCCGAUGGAGGGGGAUAACUACUGGAAACGGUAGCUAAUACCGCAUAACGUCUUCGGACCAAAGUGGGGGACCUUCGGGCCUCACACCAUCGGAUGUGCCCAGAUGGGAUUAGCUAGUAGGUGGGGUAAUGGCUCACCUAGGCGACGAUCCCCAGCUGGUCUGAGAGGAGGACCAGCCACACUGGAACUGAGACACGGUCCAGACUCCUACGGGAGGCAGCAGUGGGGAAUAUUGCACAAUGGGCGCAAGCCUGAUGCAGCCAUGCCGCGUGUAUGAAGAAGGCCUUCGGGUUGUAAAGUACUUUCAGCGGGGAGGAAGGCGUUAAGGUUAAUAACCUUGGCGAUUGACGUUACCCGCAGAAGAAGCACCGGCUAACUCCGUGCCAGCCGCCGCCGUAA